AGGACGAACGUUGGCGGCGUGCCUUACACAUGCAAGUCGUACGCGAAAGGGUGAACCGGCUUGCCGGGGACCCCGAGUAGAGUGGCGAACGGGAGCGUAACACGUGAGAAACCUGCCUUGGAGUGGGGAAUAACUUCGAGAAAUCGGAGCCAAUUCCGCAUGAUGCAGCGGCCCCGCAUGGGGACAGUUGUUAAAGACGGCCUCUGCUUGCAAGCCGUCGCUUCGAGAUGGUCUCGCGGCCUAUCAGCUAGUUGGUGAGGUAAUGGCUCACCAAGGCGACGACGGGUAGCCGGCCUGAGAGGGUGUCCGGCCUCAGUUGGGACUGAGACACGGCCCAGACUCCGUAGGAGGCAGCAGUGAGGAAUCUUGCGCAAGUGGCGAAAG
rnacentral:rRNA from 1 species